UACGAAGGGGGCUAGCGUUGCUCGGAAUCACUGGGCGUAAAGGGUGCGUAGGCGGGUCUUUAAGUCAGUGGUGAAAUCCUGGAGCUCAACUCCAGAACUGCCUUUGAUACUGAAGAUCUUGAGUUCGGGAGAGGUGAGUGGAACUGCGAGUGUAGAGGUGAAAUUCGUAGAUAUUCGCAAGAACACCAGUGGCGAAGGCGGCUCACUGGCCCGGUACUGACGCUGAGGUGCGAAAGCGUGGGGAGCAAACAGG
rnacentral:rRNA from 1 species